rnacentral:rRNA from 1 species
AGUGAACGCUGGCGGUAGGCCUAACACAAGCAAGUCGAACGGCAGCACAGAGGAGCUUGCUCCUUGGGUGGCGAGUGGCGGACGGGUGAGGAAUACAUCGGAAUCUACUCCGUCGUGGGGGAUAACGUAGGGAAACUUACGCUAAUACCGCAUACGACCUACGGGUGAAAGCAGGGGACCUUCGGGCCUUGCGCGAUUGAAUGAGCCGAUGUCGGAUUAGCUAGUUGGCGGGGUAAAGGCCCACCAAGGCGACGAUCCGUAGCUGGUCUGAGAGGAUGAUCAGCCACACUGGAACUGAGACACGGUCCAGACUCCUACGGGAGGCAGCGGUGGGGAAUAUUGGACAAUGGGCGCAAGCCUGAUCCAGCCAUACCGCGUGGGUGAAGAAGGCCUUCGGGUUGUAAAGCCCUUUUGUUGGGAAAGAAAUCCAGCUGGCUAAUACCCGGUUGGGAUGACGGUACCCAAAGAAUAAGCACCGGCUAACUUCGUGCCAGCCGCCGCGGUAA